rnacentral:lncRNA from 1 species
CUGCUUAUUGGGCUAUUUAGCUCAUGAUAAGUUUUAUGUUUUUCUUACAGAUCCAGAAAAUUAGCAUGAUGCGGAAUUUUGGUUGGGAGAGCGAUUAGAGAUGGAGUUAACUCAUUGAUUUAGGAUUUUUUCAGAAUUGAUUCAAGACCUUUAGUUUUGCUUUUAGUAUUGACAUUGUCAGACCGUUACUUUCUUUUGAACACUUAGUUUUGAUU